rnacentral:tRNA from 1 species
GCUGAUAUAGCUCAGGAGGUAGAGCACAGCAUUGGUAGUGCUGAGGUCACGAGUUCAACUCUCGUUAUCAGCU